UACGUAGGGUGCGAGCGUUAAUCGGAAUCACUAGGCGUAAAGCGCAGGUAGGCGGUUUGGUAAGUCUUUUGUGAAAGCUCCCGGCUCAACUGUGAGAGGCCAAAGGAAACUACUAGACUAGAGUGUGGUAGGGGAUACUGGAAUUCCUGGUGUAGCGGUGAAAUGCGCAGAUAUCAGGAGGAACACCGGUGGCGAAGGCGGUUCUCUGGGCAUGUCCUGACGCUGAGGAGCGAAAGUGUGGGGAGCGAACAGG
rnacentral:rRNA from 1 species